rnacentral:ncRNA from 1 species
AAGCGAGGACGACCUCCCCCAUGUCGGGACAGCGCGACGGGACGGCCCGG